GAAAUGCGAUAAGUAGUGUGAAUUGCAGAAUUCAGUGAAUCAUCGAAUCUUUGAACGCACAUUGCGCCCUUUGGUAUUCCAAAGGGCAUGCCUGUUCGAGCGUCAUUUGUACCCUCAAGCUUUGCUUGGUGUUGGGCGUCUUGUCUCUAGCUUUGCUGGAGACUCGCCUUAAAGUAAUUGGCAGCCGGCUUACUGGUUUCGGAGCGCAGCACAAGUCGCACUCUCUAUCAGCAAAGGUCUAGCAUCCAUUAAGCCUUUUUUCAACUUUUGACCUCGGAUCAGGUAGGGAUACCCGCUGAACUUAAGC
rnacentral:misc_RNA from 1 species